GGAGCCGAAGGGAAACCGAGUCUUAACUGGGCGUUAAGUUGCAGGGUAUAGACCCGAAACCCGGUGAUCUAGCCAUGGGCAGGUUGAAGGUUGGGUAACACUAACUGGAGGACCGAACCGACUAAUGUUGAAAAAUUAGCGGAUGACUUGUGGCUGGGGGUGAAAGGCCAAUCAAACCGGGAGAUAGCUGGUUCUCCCCGAAAGCUAUUUAGGUAGCGCCUCGUGAAUUCAUCUCCGGGGGUAGAGCACUGUUUCGGCAAGGGGGUCAUCCCGACUUACCAACCCGAUGCAAACUGCGAAUACCGGAGAAUGUUAUCACGGGAGACACACGGCGGGUGCUAACGUCCGUCGUGAAGAGGGAAACAACCCAGACCGCCAGCUAAGGUCCCAAAGUCAUGGUUAAGUGGGAAACGAUGUGGGAAGGCCCAGACAGCCAGGAUGUUGGCUUAGAAGCAGCCAUCAUUUAAAGAAAGCGUAAUAGCUCACUGGUCGAGUCGGCCUGCGCGGAAGAUGUAACGGGGCUAAACCAUGCACCGAAGCUGCGGCAGCGACGCUUAUGCGUUGUUGGGUAGGGGAGCGUUCUGUAAGCCUGCGAAGGUGUGCUGUGAGGCAUGCUGGAGGUAUCAGAAGUGCGAAUGCUGACAUAAGUAACGAUAAAGCGGGUGAAAAGCCCGCUCGCCGGAAGACCAAGGGUUCCUGUCCAACGUUAAUCGGGGCAGGGUGAGUCGACCCCUAAGGCGAGGCCGAAAGGCGUAGUCGAUGGGAAACAGGUUAAUAUUCCUGUACUUGGUGUUACUGCGAAGGGGGGACGGAGAAGGCUAUGUUGGCCGGGCGACGGUUGUCCCGGUUUAAGCGUGUAGGCUGGUUUUCCAGGCAAAUCCGGAAAAUCAAGGCUGAGGCGUGAUGACGAGGCACUACGGUGCUGAAGCAACAAAUGCCCUGCUUCCAGGAAAAGCCUCUAAGCAUCAGGUAACAUCAAAUCGUACCCCAAACCGACACAGGUGGUCAGGUAGAGAAUACCAAGGCGCUUGAGAGAACUCGGGUGAAGGAACUAGGCAAAAUGGUGCCGUAACUUCGGGAGAAGGCACGCUGAUAUGUAGGUGAAGCGACUUGCUCGUGGAGCUGAAAUCAGUCGAAGAUACCAGCUGGCUGCAACUGUUUAUUAAAAACACAGCACUGUGCAAACACGAAAGUGGACGUAUACGGUGUGACGCCUGCCCGGUGCCGGAAGGUUAAUUGAUGGGGUUAGCGCAAGCGAAGCUCUUGAUCGAAGCCCCGGUAAACGGCGGCCGUAACUAUAACGGUCCUAAGGUAGCGAAAUUCCUUGUCGGGUAAGUUCCGACCUGCACGAAUGGCGUAAUGAUGGCCAGGCUGUCUCCACCCGAGACUCAGUGAAAUUGAACUCGCUGUGAAGAUGCAGUGUACCCGCGGCAAGACGGAAAGACCCCGUGAACCUUUACUAUAGCUUGACACUGAACAUUGAGCCUUGAUGUGUAGGAUAGGUGGGAGGCUUUGAAGUGUGGACGCCAGUCUGCAUGGAGCCGACCUUGAAAUACCACCCUUUAAUGUUUGAUGUUCUAACGUUGACCCGUAAUCCGGGUUGCGGACAGUGUCUGGUGGGUAGUUUGACUGGGGCGGUCUCCUCCUAAAGAGUAACGGAGGAGCACGAAGGUUGGCUAAUCCUGGUCGGACAUCAGGAGGUUAGUGCAAUGGCAUAAGCCAGCUUGACUGCGAGCGUGACGGCGCGAGCAGGUGCGAAAGCAGGUCAUAGUGAUCCGGUGGUUCUGAAUGGAAGGGCCAUCGCUCAACGGAUAAAAGGUACUCCGGGGAUAACAGGCUGAUACCGCCCAAGAGUUCAUAUCGACGGCGGUGUUUGGCACCUCGAUGUCG
rnacentral:rRNA from 1 species